UACAGAGGAUGCAAGCGUUAUCCGGAAUGAUUGGGCGUAAAGCGUCUGUAGGUGGCUUUUUAAGUCCGCCGUCAAAUCCCAGGGCUCAACUCUGGACAGGCGGUGGAAACUACCAAGCUGGAGUACGGUAGGGGCAGAGGGAAUUUCCGGUGGAGCGGUGAAAUGCGUAGAGACCCGGAGGAGCACCGGUGGCGAAGGCGGCUUCCUGGUCUGCAACUGACGCUGUGGCGCGAAAGCUAGGGGAGCAAACGGG
rnacentral:rRNA from 1 species